rnacentral:rRNA from 1 species
UACAGAGACUGCAAGCGUUAUUCGGAUUCACUGGGCGUAAAGGGUGCGCAGGCGGCCGUGUGUGUGAGGCGUGAAAGCCCGGGGCUUAACCCCGGAAUUGCACCUCAAACUACAUGGCUAGAGCAUUGGAGAGGGGAGCAGAAUUCAUGGUGUAGCAGUGAAAUGCGUAGAUAUCAUGAGGAAUACCAGAGGCGAAGGCGGCUACCUGGACAAUUGCUGACGCUCAGGCACGAAAGCGUGGGGAGCAAAAGGG